rnacentral:rRNA from 1 species
GAUGAACGCUGGCGGCGUGCUUAACACAUGCAAGUCGAACGGGAUCCAAGGGGUGCUUGCACUUUUUGGUGAGAGUGGCGAACGGGUGAGUAACACGUGAGUAACCUGUCCUUUUCUUUGGGAUAAGCAUUCGAAAGGGUGUUUAAUACCUUAUGUUCUGUCUGCCUCGCAUGGGGUGGGUGGGAAAGGCUUUGGCCGGAUUUGGGUGGGUUCGCGGUCUAUCAGCUUGUUGGUGUGGUGAUGGCUUACCAAGGCUUUGACGGGUAGCCGGCCUGAGAGGGUGGUGGGUCAGAGUGGGACUGGGAAACGGGCCAGACACCUGCGGGAGGCAGUAGUGGGGGAUAUUGCACAGUGGGCUAAAGCCUGAUGGAGCGACGCCGGAUGGGGGAUGGAGGCGUGAGGGUUGUAAGCUUCUGUGGCGCUGAGCAAGGCAUGCCAGUGGGUGUGUGAAGUGAACGGGAGGAUAAGCGCCGGCUAACUACGUG